rnacentral:rRNA from 1 species
AUUGAACGCUGGCGGAAUGCUUUACACAUGCAAGUCGAACGGUAGAGGGGGGCAACCCCUUGAGAGUGGCGAACGGGUGAGUAAUAUAUCGGAACGUGCCCAGUCGUGGGGAGUAACGUAGCGAAAGUUACGCUAAUACCGCAUACGAUCUAAGGAUGAAAGACGGGGGGACGUCGCAAGAGCCUCGCGCGAUUGGAGCGGCCGAUAUCAGAUUAGGUAGUUGGUGGGGUAAAGGCUCACCAAGCCAACCGAUCUGUAGCUGGUCUGAGAGGACGACCAGCCACACUGGAACUGAGACACGGUCCAGACUCCUACGGGAGGGCAGCAGUGGGGGAAGUUUU